CGGGCGGACGGGUGAGUAACACGUGGAUAACCUACCUAUAAGACUGGGAUAACUUCGGGAAACCGGAGCUAAUACCGGAUAAUAUAUUGAACCGCAUGGUUCAAUAGUGAAAGACGGUUUUGCUGUCACUUAUAGAUGGAUCCGCGCCGCAUUAGCUAGUUGGUAAGGUAACGGCUUACCAAGGCAACGAUGCGUAGCCGACCUGAGAGGGUGAUCGGCCACACUGGAACUGAGACACGGUCCAGACUCCUACGGGAGGGCAGCAGAC
rnacentral:rRNA from 1 species